UACAGAGGUCUCAAGCGUUGUUCGGAUUCAUUGGGCGUAAAGGGUGCGUAGGCGGCGCGGUAAGUCGGGUGUGAAAUUUCGAGGCUUAACUUCGAAACUGCAUUCGAUACUGCCGUGCUUGAGGACUGGAGAGGAGACUGGAAUUUACGGUGUAGCGGUGAAAUGCGUAGAUAUCUGGAGGAACACCGGUGGCGAAGGCGGCAUCCUGGACCAAUAUUGACGCUGAGGAGCGAAAGCUAGGGGAGCAAAGCGGG
rnacentral:rRNA from 1 species